rnacentral:rRNA from 1 species
UACGUAGGGUGCGAGCGUUAAUCGGAAUUACUGGGCGUAAAGCGUGCGCAGGCGGUUCGUUAAGUUUGUGGUGAAAGCCCCGGGCUCAACCUGGGAAUGGCCAUGGAAACUGGCGGGCUGGAGUGUGGCAGAGGGGGGUGGAAUUCCACGUGUAGCAGUGAAAUGCGUAGAGAUGUGGAGGAACACCGAUGGCGAAGGCAGCCCCCUGGACCAACACUGACGCCUCAGGCACGAAAGCGUGGGGAGCAAACAGG